GACGAACGCUGGCGGCGUGCUUAACACAUGCAAGUCGAACGGAAAGGCCCUGCUUUUGUGGGGUGCUCGAGUGGCGAAAGGGUGAGUAACACGUGAGUAACCUGCCCUUGACUUUGGGAUAACUUCAGGAAACUGGGGCUAAUACCGGAUAGGAGCUCCUGCUGCAUGGUGGGGGUUGGAAAGUUUCGGCGGUUGGGGAUGGACUCGCGGCUUAUCAGCUUGUUGGUGGGGUAGUGGCUUACCAAGGCUUUGACGGGUAGCCGGCCUGAGAGGGUGACCGGCCACAUUGGGACUGCGAUACGGCCCAGACUCCUACGGGAGGCAGCAGUGGGGAAUAUUGCACAAUGGGCGGAAGCCUGAUGCAGCAACGCCGCGUGCGGGAUGACGGCCUUCGGGUUGUAAACCGCUUUCGCCUGUGACGCAGCGUGAGUGACGGUAAUGGGUAAAGAAGCACCGGCUAACUACGUG
rnacentral:rRNA from 1 species